UCAUCCUGGCCCGUUUGCGGUACC
rnacentral:sRNA from 1 species